GACAGAGGCCUCAAGCGUUAGGCGGAAUCACUGGGCUUAAAGCGUGUGUAGGCGGAUCGUUAAGUGUCUUGUGAAAUCCCACGGCUCACCCGUGGAACUGCUGGGCAUACUGGCGAUCUUGGGCCAACUAGGGGCAACUGGAACAAGCGGUGGAGCGGUGAAAUGCGUAGAUAUCGCUUGGAACGCCAAAGGUGAAAACAGGUUGCUGGGGUUGUGCCGACGCUGAGACACGAAAGCCAGGGGAGCAAACGGGAUUAGAUACCCCGGUAGUCCUGGCCCUAAACGAUGUCCACUAGAUUGCGGCGGGUUUGACCCCGUCGCGGUCGAAGCAAAAGUGUUAAGUGGACCGCCUGGGAAGUACGGUCGCAAGGCUAAA
rnacentral:rRNA from 1 species